UGGAGCUGGGUAGCCCCCCAAAACUAUAAAGAGAGGAGCCGAACACGAUGGCACCUGCCUGCAAUCCCAGCACAAAGGAGACAGAGACAAAGAUGGAGAGCGGGGACAGGAAUUAUGGGGUCAGAAAGAACACACCACGGAUCUAUGCGAAGUGUGUAGCUCUUCAGUCUAAACUCAUCUACCUGUCACAGGAGCAUCAAUGAAGCAGACCUCAAAAAGUACACGUGGGCCCACUUCCACGGGUGAAAUGACUGAGACUUUGGAAAUUACCUGAAAGGCUCAAGAAACCUCAGGUUAUGUCAUGAGACAGGCCACCGGGCUCAGAGAGGCACGAAUCACAGCCCUUGUGUGACUUCACGGCUGGGUCUGAUCUAAAGGCCCACAGUGUUCAGCUUGACAGAGAGGUAAAGGACCACAAAAGGGUCUCCUCAGAGAUGAGGAGAUGGGAUAAACAUGUGAUGGGUGCUAGGUCAUAGAAAAUGUCGGAGUGCAUUCACGGGGCCUUUCCCUCCCUCCUAGAGGGCUUUCAAAGCAGUCUCCUGCCUUUGAACACAGUCGAUGCACAGCAGUUGAACUGCCCCUGACAUUCCAGGUCUCUCAUGCACACAGGCAUAAACUCAGUCCGCAGCUCCAGCUACACCACAAGUCACAAAAUGACUGGCCAACUACAGGAGAAAUAAGAACUCAAUGCCCAGUGUAUUCCAAAAAGGGGAAAAGUUUUAGAAAGUAUGAAUAGUUAAU